rnacentral:rRNA from 1 species
UACGGAGGGUGCAAGCGUUAUCCGGAUUCACUGGGUUUAAAGGGUGCGUAGGCGGACAGGUAAGUCAGUGGUGAAAUCUCUGGGCUUAACUCAGAAACUGCCGUUGAUACUAUUUGUCUUGAAUAUCAUGGAGGUAAGCGGAAUAUGUCAUGUAGCGGUGAAAUGCUUAGAUAUGACAUAGAACACCAAUAGCGAAGGCAGCUUACUACAUGGAGAUUGACGCUGAGGCACGAAAGCGUGGGGAUCAAACAGG